rnacentral:ncRNA from 1 species
GUUUCGGGGCGGAGUGAAAUUCUCCACCGGCGGUGAAAGUCCGCGAGCCUUUUUGGUUGAACCGGUGUGAUUCCGGUACCGACGGUAUAGUCCGGAUGAAAGAAU